rnacentral:misc_RNA from 1 species
GUUGGAAAUAAAGUCGAUAUAGUACGUUUUAAUUCUUUGUUGAAUAGUGUAAAUACAUGGAAGACUAAUAAAUCAUUUAAUGAAGUUUUUUGAUCAGCAAAUCAUUUAAUGAAGUUUUCAAUUGGAAUCCGUUUGAACUCAUUUUCAAUAUAUCUUACUUUGGCAGAAUGUCCUAUUCCCCUGUAAUUUUUGUCACACAACUCCUCUGCAUACUCUGCAGCAUUAUUGCCCUUACAUUGAAAUGCAACAACUUGUGCUUGGACAGUUGGAUGUAUAAUUUGUGGUUCCACAUCCUGUCUAUCAUCUCCAUGUAAACUCAACCAUGUGAGAAUUGAGUCACUCAGUGCCUGCUGAAAUUUGCUAAGAAAUUUAGAAGACUUGCAAAUUUGAAUGUCUUAUGCAUCCCCUUUUUGACUAGUUGCCUUUGGGAUGAAAGAAGUUCAUUUCUGUUCAUUUUUCUUUAAGUCUUCAUAUUGCAUUUUUGAUAUCUCUUUCUGGUAUAUUGAAACAGUGACAUAGAUGGUAAUUUGCAUUUACAAAUGUAUACCAGGAAAAAAAAAAUUCCCUACCUGUUUUAGAUGCAUAGGUUGCUAAGUUGCAAACUUUCUUUUUUUAUUUCUUCAUUCAUGCGAUAAAAUUACCUGAGAAGGGAAAAAAUGGAAAGUGCUUGAGAAAGGAAAAAAGGGUGAAAAGUGAGGCUUUUCUCCUGUUUAUUCUUAUUUAAUGGCAUUAUUGUUCUAUUUGUAUAUGAUUUCAGGAGUCUGAAGGGGU